CUGAUUUCUGCAAGGUAUUUUUCUCUCCAAAGGAGACAAAGGCACUGAGACACCGAGUUGACUAACUACCUGAUUCUUCAAAAGCAAUGAGGUCAUCAGAGAGCAGAGUUUGCAAAGAAAACGAAUGAACUAAAUACUAAAAAUGACUAUCUCUACUCUCUAAAAGAAUAGACACAGGAUGGCUUUCAUGCUUGACUGGUUAGCUGACAGAGAAUUAAGUUGCAAUAGAUAACAAGAAAAGUGUAGAUGAUAUAAUUGUCUGUGUAGACUAUCCUAAAUAAUUUACCAAAAAAAUCAUAAUUACUAGGUGAAUUUAGCAGUCU
rnacentral:lncRNA from 1 species